rnacentral:tRNA from 1 species
GCAGUGGUGGUUUGGUUGUAGAAUUCUUGCCUUCUGUGCAGGAGACCGGGGUUUGAUUCCCGGCCAAUGCA